UACGUAGGGGGCAAGCGUUGUCCGGAAUUACUGGGCGUAAAGCGCGCGUAGGCGGCUUUGUAAGUUAGAGGUGAAAGCCCGGAGCUCAACUCCGGAACUGCCUUUAAGACUGCAUCGCUAGAAUUGUGGAGAGGUAAGUGGAAUUCCGAGUGUAGAGGUGAAAUUCGUAGAUAUUCGGAAGAACACCAGUGGCGAAGGCGACUUACUGGACACAUAUUGACGCUGAGGUGCGAAAGCGUGGGGAGCAAACAGG
rnacentral:rRNA from 1 species